CGCAUCAUCCGCCAUCUCACUCCUCCUCUUUGCAGGCUUCGCGGCGUUUUUCCUCCUCUUCCGGCGCUGAUCCUCAUCAACGGAAUCCUCGUCGCACCACUCGCGCUCACUGUCUCGCAUCUGGGCCGGCGUGGUCGAUUCACCUGAAAGGAACACGAAGAACGGAUUACGGCGUAACCUGACGACUUGCCGCGGGCCUCUCUCAAGUACCUCUCUUUUUUUCUCUCCCUCUCUUCUUCGUUUUCGUGAACCGCUUGGAGCACAUAGUGAAGAGCUAUCCUCGCCACCCACCCUCACCUGCAUCCCCGCCCCUCUCUUCUGCUUUUCAUUCUCAUGUGAGGCGCCAGUCUGGCCGCACCUUUCUCUCUGUCUCACUCAGCAGAUAUUGUAGUCGUUUUGGCGCGUGUGGCAGGACGCAUUUGCGCAGCUUAAAGUUGUCGUUGUUUUUCAGGGGGACAGAGAAGGAGAGCGACACACACAGAAGGGGGCAAAAGGCGUCUGGCGGUGUGGUGGCGGCCAAGCCGGUGUCGCUUGCCGUUGAAGUGCUGUACCUGUGUUCAGGACUGUCUACCUCUUCUUGACGUUCAUGUGUGUGUUUGUGUGUGAAUGCGUGAGUGUGUGCGUAUCCCCCUCUUUCUCCCUUUCACUUCUUCCCGUCAACGCCGCUGCCGAGCCCUUUAUUGAUUGUUUUGCUUUGUUUUCUUGCCUUUCCUGUGGUUCUCUCCUCGCUUUCUAACGUCUCCCUUUCCUCCUCCGCACGCUUGUCAAGACGUGGAGUGCGGCAACGAGGGCGUCGGCAGUCUUCGAUCCCUCGAGCAUCUCUCUCGCCCCACUUCCCCCUAUCCCCACCCCACCCCCUCACUGAGUGUCUUCAGUCUUGGUGGUGGUGGCGGUGUUGUCUUUCAUUACGUUUCGUUUCUCUUUGCAUCUUAAGUCAUCACAAGCACGCAGAUCAUCGUCUUUUCCUUCUUUUUCUUUUUCGUCGUUGUGGAAAGGGAGCUGGGGUCUCGUGCGACGGCUGAGCUGAACGUCUGUUGUUUUGGUUGGUUUACGUUCCAGCUACUGGCUCCUGUUGCUGCGGCAUAAGAGCGCGCUUUUCCUCCGCACUUUCCUUCCGUUUUCUUCUUUUUUUUAGGUAAUCUUUUUGUUGUGCGUUAUUGUUUGUUUUUCGGUGGGCUUAUUCGGUCUGGUGGGAUCUCUCACGGCCUCCACGGGCACUCUUGGGAGCCCCACAAUCGCUCGCCCAGUGACGGCGAGACGCACACAGAACGGUCCGUAAUCACCGCUUUCUUUUGCUGAUACCCUUUUCCACCCCGUUCGAAUCGAUUACUUUGCUUUGAGGCAUUCAUCACUCCGGCGAGUUGGUCGUCCGCCUACUCCUCCGGUCCGCACUCGUCCUAUACCCCCUAAUCCCGACGCCGCUUUUAGGGGCGUGGCUUUCGUGAUACUGCAGAUGGGUAACGCCGUGUUCUGCAGGGCGGAUAAAGAGGCGGGGACGGAAUGCAGCACUCACGGCCAAAUCGGGCAGCAGCGGCUGCUGGAGAAGUGUCCCCGACGUCAGAAAACGCUGAAGCCUCAUCUUUGUGAUGAAGCAAAGGCUGUGUGGAGCACGACCCCGGCUCGUGCCGACGGAAGAGGAGGCCGCUCACCGGAGCAGCAGCGGCAGCAGCAGCAGAACGACCUUUCCUCUUUCACAGGCAUCUCUCCUGUAGAGCUGAGCAGCGUUUCUACGUCGAUCUCUCUCAUCCCAGACUGUGGAUGCGCCUCUGCGACGCCUCAGCUGGAGUGGUUGCAGUCCUCCCUCCCACCUAGUGUUAGCGACCCUAAUUUAGAGCCCCCACACGAGUACACUGUAGACUUCGACACGUUGUCGAGCGACGCCCGGCCAGACAGAAUCGCCGCGGCGCCGCACGUGGGUGGAUCGACCGAGUCCAGUAGCCGUUCAUCCUACUUCACCCUCAGCAUGAGUGGGCUCGAGAUGCCUCCUGACCUCGGCUUCGCCGCCCACCUCGAACGCGUUGCCUCCCCUGAGCUUCGAGCGCCACCGUCAAACUCACCAACACCCGUGCAGCCACCGCUGCUGGCCGCGAGUCCCGCUGAAAGACCCCAUUGGAAUGACGCGAUGUUGCCGGCUGCCGCCCUCCCCGUCACUGCGGUCAGCCCCACUGUCCCUGUAGCACCGAGCCCCUACUCGCCUUUUGCACGAAACGCAAGCACGGGGCCGAAGAAGCCGACCGGCAACUGGUGCUCCUCCGACAGCGAGUCUGCAAGUCCGAGGAGAGAAGCUCCCAAGAUGCAGAAGGAGCCGAUGAAUGCAUCUCCCACUCAUCCGACGCAGUCGCAGCCGCACAGACGGCCAUUCAGGCAGGUGACUCCAUUGCAAGCCGUACAUGAGGUGAAGUCCACUGACGCAGUCACAUCCUCCGCCGCCCACAAGGGCUCCAAAGGUCAUCCACAAGACACGUUGCCGCGGCGACGCCUUACCGACAAGGGUGGUGCUUCCGCCCUCAUACUGCCGCCACUCGACGGCGCCGGGGCGCUGGGUGCCAAGGCGGCGGCGAAGGCUGCGUACACCGGCAGCUCGUCCAUUGCCGGCUUGCACGGGUCUCAACCGCCUCUGGUGCCGAAGGAUUUGCUCUGCUACAGGGAAAACACGCUCACCGGCGGAGAUGCGUACCGGGCGAAAACGGCAAAUAACCGAGGGUGUGCCCAAAGCAGCGCCUCGCCGCGGUGCGCCCUUGUAGCGCGCAAGAUGGACGAGGCGAGUGCCGCGGCGACACCGCCGAGUGGCGCACCGGCUCUUCCCUUACCACUCAACGGCGAUGUAAGUAGCCUUCAAGGGUGCGCCGAGCAAGGCUAUGCAAGACUACCGCUUGUCAAGGGAGCCAGUGCAUCUUUCACGGCAAUGAAACCGGUGCAGGCGAACGCUACCCAACAAACCACGCAGAGCGGCACAAAUGGUGGUGUGUGUGACAAUCCCGCUUCCUAUCAGCCGCCUUGGCACGUGGCUCCAGACGAAGAUGACGCUAUUACGCAACUGAAGUUCACCGCCCAUGCAGCGGCUACCUCCUCUUCGCUCAUGAGAGCGAACUGGCAAACGGCCACAGCGGCGACGACGGCUAAUCAGAGUCACGCAUCCACCUCUUCAGUUUCAAUAUCAAAAGAGGCGCAUCCGCACUCAGCAUUACGCGAUACGAUGAAGCGCAGAUCUCUCACGUUGACGGAGCGAGGCGCCCGACAGGACGCCGCUAGCACAGCUCACUUACAAGUUUCUGGGCAAGGUGCAAGCGCCCCGAGUCGCCUGCCCUCGGCCAACUGCAUGGAAGUACGCACGACGGAGAAAGCACAGGAUUCACUUGUAUCUGCACCAGUGCCCUUUUCUCCUUCCCUUCGACAAGUCGGCGCUGGGGAGCAGUGCUGCAGCCGUUCCGAUGAUGGAAGUGAGAGCCCCGGCGAAGACAAGGAGAGGCCGUCAGGCGACGGCGAAUGUUUGCCACGGUCCCAAAGUGUGUGCGACUUACCGCCGAACCUCGGCGCUAGUCACCGGGUCGACUCAAUUCUCAAGAAGACCAGCAGCUACCGUUCUCUGAAUGGCUCUCCGGUGGAACGAACGCUGCCGGCGGUGGGCUCGGUGUCGUUUCUGUUGUGCGAGCAGGAGGCGUCGCUCGCCAUGGUGAGCCGCCAAGGCGUGUUCAAGGCCGUCUCCCACCACGCAAAGCCGCGUCAGAAGGAAGACCAUCGACUUUUCGAGGGCUCCUGACGUCACUCAGUGGGGAUGUGGCACAGAUCCCGCUAGGUAUAUCACGUUUUUUUUUGUUGCUGCUGUUACGGAGAGAGGCGGCUAGUGUUAGGAGAAUGCGGAAGUGUUUGCAUAUGAAGGGGCUACGCUCGCUCUGCAACAACAAAAAAAAGCGCGUCCAUUUCGUGAGCGAGUUGCUCCUCGCUGUGGGUGUGUUCGAAGACGCGUCUCCCAUUGGUUGUCGUUGUUUUCUGUACCUUCCGUUUCGGUGCACAGCACAUAUAUAUACAUACAUAUAUACUUUUCGUAGCCCAUUUGGCUGCUCUUGUCCCGGAUAGCCAUGAAGCGGCUCGUGCAAGGGGUAUGUGGCCCCGCCACUCACCACCUCGCGGAUGCCGGCGAGGGAGUUCCUUCUUUUGCGUACAGCUGAUCGCCCAUCCCUCAGCUUUCUCCAGUCAUCUUCGCCCCUUUCUUGCUCGCUCUCCUUCGUCGGUAGAGCUCCAUCGACUGAAAAAAAAAUGUUCGGUAUCUUUCCGCCGUUGUGCUCGCAACCACCGAAUCGUUUUCUCCUUGUUUACUGGUCCGCGCGUCCUUCUCUUCUGGCCCACCCAUCCAACUUUGUGCGCCGCUGCUAUUCAUUUACUUGUUUUCUCAGACGGCAGCAGGAGGUAUGCCCGACUGCAGCUGAUGUGGUUCCACUUGCGCUGGGAGUGGAUCCUGUCCUCUCUCUUCCUUGUGCGUCCCAUUAUGGUGUCUUUUCGUACUCUUCCUUGCGGACGUGAAGCUGCCUGCAUGUGCGCGGGCGUCUGAUGACGUGCGGUUGAACCACCUGUCUGUAUGCACCGGUGAGGCAUGUUGCCACACCCGCGUGUGCGGGCGGCUCCGGAUGGCAACAGAGCUGUAUCAUGCACACGCCAUCUCUCUCUUUUUGACAGUGUUUUUCCUACGACUAUCUGCGUGUUGCGUUUCUCGCUUGAUUUUUUCACGGAGGUGCUGUUGUCGUGUGCUUGUUCAUGCACGAGCCGUUUCAGCAGCUCCUCUCCACGCCUCUGCUGCCUGCCUCUCUGCACACACACACACGGACACGCACACACAGCCCUGAUCUUGUUCUUUGUUUUCUGUUUAGUUUACCGUUCCCUCUAGUGGUCCGUUUCUUCCCGUUUUGUGUGUCGUUGCGUUUUAUCUUUUUAGUUUCGCUGGUCUUGUAUCUGAACUCAGGUUAUCUGUGCUGCUCCGCCUCGCCUCCCUGAACAGCAGUCCGUUUCUCUCCCCCUCUCUUUGGGUAUCUACUUAGAGGGCGCCUCGCGUGUUUGCGAGCGUGUGGAAGUCACCUGUCACAGUCGUACUCGUCUCGGAAACGGCGAACAGAAUAUCGAAGAUACGAACGACCCUGAAGUGGAACCGCGCCGUUUUUGAAGGCGAUUUCGUUGUGUUGUGUAGACGUGCGUACACGAGCCGCAUGCGCUCCUUUGCAGACCUCUUGCUCUCCCCCUUCUAUCAUCGUACCUGCGACUUUCUGGUUUCUCGUCCUCUCUUCUGUCUGCUGCCCCUUUUAAG
rnacentral:misc_RNA from 1 species